UGUCAACUGUUGAAGAGAAAUGGACUAUUUAAACAAGACUAAAUUUAAUAUUCGAUGCAGAGCACAGAGAUCUUACGACUCAAGUGAUUACAGAGAGCUCAUACAGUAUGUUACAAGACCGCCAGAAAUCUGUUUACUAUACUGUGACAACACAGAUACUGUCACAUGCUGGUCACCGAGGUUCCUUCAAAGAAAUCACAUCCCAUUUAAAUCAGGGGGAAAUCUGAGCAGGGCAGUAAGUAAUAAUGAACAGAAGCGGACCCUACACUGAACCUUGAGGAACACCAGAGGUAACUUGAGAUUGCUUUGAUUGAUCUUUGAUUUAAUUUUAGAAAAUGCACUCAGAUUGAGCCAAAAGACCAGAAUCUUCUGCCAUCAGCAGGUAAUUAGUGAUUCUGACAGCAGUAGCACUAUGAUGUGAAAAAAAUCCUGACUGAAUAAUAUUGAGUUAUCUUUGAUAUUGUUCACCCCCUGCAAAAUUUUACUUUUUCUACAUUGCUGCUCAGAAAAGUAAAACAACAUCAACAAAAAACAACAACAACUUCAGACCUUCUAUAGCUGUACAGAUUAUGAGUUUGAUUCUCAAAACUCAAAAUACUAAGCAGUGGCACAUUUACCAGACUGACUCUACAUGUGAGCAUCUUUAGUCAUAUCUUGCAUGUCUAACUCUUUGACAUUGGCCUUGACUUUGGUUUUAGCUUCAUUUGGCUCAUUCCCAGCUCAGUCUUCAGUCCUGAGCUCAUAAAAACUUCUUUCACACAGCUUCACGAUGCAAAUAGCGGCCAUCCAAAACUCGUGAUUGCUCGCACAAAAGAUCCAAGCACAAUAGGAAGACCAAAUCACCUUUAAUACCAUCACUAAUUAAAGCAGAAGUCAUUAAAGCGCCUGCGUUUGGAUUAUUUUCUUAUCAGAGUCCAUUAGAAAGAUAGUAUUCCUGACUGGAAAUUGAGCCGGCGCUGACGCCAACAUCGGGGCCUUUGGGCUGAGAGCAGAAGUGGCCCGUCUGUGGCUCUACCACUUCACACAGGCUUCAGUCGCUUCAUCCUUAACUAUCACGGCACCUCUGAGAAUCACGUCUGAAUCAAACGUGUGGAUCAGAUGGGGAGGAUGUUUUAAUUAAAGAUGUUUGUUCACGAUAGAAUGUCAUCACUUAAUGAAGGGAGGAUUUGAGCUCCCACAAAUGAGUAUGUGAGGUUUAAAAGUUAAUGACUUGUGCUGAUGAAAUUCAUGGGGGGCAUUCAGAACAUUUCCGAGAUUUUUCUCACGGAACGAGACUGCAUUAAGUCAGAACUUUAAAACGGUUAGAUAACCCCCAAAAGUUGGAGUAAAUGUUCUUGUCUACAAGAAAAUACGCCCUGUAUAAUACUUUCCAUGUACGCUAUGUGAAAGUGCAUUUUUAGAAUCUCUCUGGUUCAUCUGCCGAUACAUUUUUAAAGCUAUAGGUCUC